GUGAGUAAUAUAUCGGAACGUGCCCAGUCGUGGGGGAUAACGUAGAGAAAUUUACGCUAAUACCGCAUACGAUCUAAGGAUGAAAGCGGGGGAUCGCAAGACCUCGCGCGAUUGGAGCGGCUGAUAUCAGAUUAGGUUGUUGGUGAGGUAAAAGCUCACCAAGCCGACGAUCUGUAGCUGGUUUGAGAGAACGACCAGCCACACUGGGACUGAGACACGGCCCAGACUCCUACGGGAGGCAGCAGUGGGGAAUUUUGGACAAUGGGCGAAAGCCUGAUCCAGCAAUGCCGCGUGCAGGAAGAAGGCCUUCGGGUUGUAAACUGCUUUUGUACGGAACGAAAAGGUCUGCCCUAAUACGGUGGGCUCAUGACGGUACCGUAAGAAUAAGCACCGGCUAACUACGUGCCAGCAGCCGCGGUAAUGCGUAGGGUGCGAGCGUUAAUCGGAAUUACUGGGCGUAAAGCGUGCGCAGGCGGUUAUAUAAGACAGUUGUGAAAUCCCCGGGCUCAACCUGGGAAUUGCAUCUGUGACUGUAUAGCUAGAGUACGGUAGAGGGGGAUGGAAUUCCGCGUGUAGCAGUGAAAUGCGUAGAUAUGCGGAGGAACACCGAUGGCGAAGGCAAUCCCCUGGACCUGUACUGACGCUCAUGCACGAAAGCGUGGGGAGCAAACAGGAUUAGAUACCCUGGUAGUCCACGCCCUAAACGAUGUCAACUGGUUGUUGGGUGCAUUAGUACUCAGUAACGAAGCUAACGCGUGAAGUUGACCGCCUGGGGAGUACGGCCGGCAGGUUGAAACUCAAAGGAAUUGACGGGGACUCGCACAAGCGGUGGAUGAUGUGGGUUAAUUCGAUGC
rnacentral:rRNA from 1 species